rnacentral:rRNA from 1 species
GCGGGGUGGCCGGAGGAGGAAACGCGGCGCGGCGCGCCCCGACCCGACUCCACCCGGCGCGGCUGUGCGCCGGCGACGUCGCCGUGCACCCCUCGGUGGUGGUGGUGGUGUGGGAUACGAGGAAACGGGCGGACCAUUCUAACGUGUUCGUCACUAGAAUCCUCGAAUUUCACAAGCAGUUUCUGUACCCUUUUCACCAGAAGCCCCGUAUAGUGGAAGUUACGUUCGAUAAACAAAGUCUUCUUUGAAAACUAACCGCACAAAAUCGAGCACCCUUGUGGGUUGAGAAGAGAGACCACUUGACGUGUAUCACCAAGAUACGAGUUGCUGUCGUCCGACUCCGCUAGGACUUCGCUAUGAGGUCAGAUACGAGGUGUAGAUGUACCAGUUGGUAGAAAUGACGUAAGUCAGAGGUAGACAGUGAGGGAUCAAUCAACGGUAAACGAAAUGACACAUGGUAGACUCCAGUUCCGAGUAGGAACGAUAUAAGACCCUGAGAUGAUACCAACGACACCCUAGAAGCACUCCCCUGGUUUCGGUUCUGUCGUGUUUGAUCACCUCCGGGUGACAAGUUAAGUGCCUAGUAUUUAGACAAGCACGCCUGACUAUCUGUUAUAUAACCAGCGAAUCUGAAACUUUGUGAAGAGACACGAACAACAACUAAAAAGAACUAUGGACCAAUAGGGUUUCCUUUUCCGAAGAAGUAUGGACCAACAGGGUUUCCUUUUUCGAAGAUAGUCCGUUGUUUUAAUGACCUUUUUACCUAUCUAAGUUCAACUAAUUCCUUCAACCACUACCCUGUAAGCCCUCGCAUACCGCGCGAUAUUUAUUUGUUUUACCACUUCAACACCGGCAAUUCUUUUACUUUUCUUUUAUAAUAAGAAAGCUCCUUACAUACUCAAAUGCACUUCAUUUCAGAAACGCCGCGUACUUAGUGGGAUUGUAUCACUUCGAGUUCCUCCAGUAUUCCCUUUUACUAUAUAAUAUGAAGUAUUACCUUAUGUACCUCACGUUAGAGAUGGUUGAAUACUUUCUGUCUCAGUUCGGAAAGCGCCUCAGUCUACAAGCAUUAACCACGAAAGUCUAAAAGGUCCGAGAACGAAUAUACGUGGUCUCCCCUAUGAAAGUAGCACUGGAGUUUGGUCUCUUAGACGACCAAUCGUUUCUACAGGAUUUCGAUCGUCUGAAACCAGAUCGUUCUCUUCAAAGUAGACGUGGUGGUAUGUGUCUUAUACACAGUUGUGCGACCAUGGCUCGUGGACUUCACAACGAGGUCAGUAGACGAAUACUAAGACGUCAACUAUACACCCGUUACCCACGGUAUUACCGGCUCGACAACUGUGAGGUAGGAGAAAAGGGACCGUGUUCACUUCGCCUACUCUAAGAGUUCUAAACGUUGCAAUAACCAACGGGUCUGCUCGUUUGUACCGGGGUCCCUAACAGAGAACGUCUCCGCUACUUCAUAGUCAAGGGUGUCUAGUCUCCGUUAGUUGACAGCCUCCAUUACUUUAGUCGGUCAUCACUCCGUCAACUGGAAUAUAGGAGAGACACGAGUACCCUAGGAACGUUCUCUGGUUUUCGGCGCCUUCAAGAGGUUGUACGGAAGAAAUUCCUAACAUGUAUACAAGGUCGACGACAGGCCGGUUUUCGACGUCCAGGGGGAUUUUGAGGAGGCCCACAACCUCGUUCUCCUCAAAGUCCUGUGUAACGAGCCUCUAUGAGGUGACCUCGAGAGAGGUGUUCGUUUGGACGACGUUUGUAUAGAUAUUUUGGAUCGUCGAAUAGAUUCUAGCCACACGUUUCUUUUGAAGUUAACCUAGCAGUCCGUGGUGUCUUCUCAUGUGCCGGGUGACUCUCAUUGUGGUUUGUUUGAUGAUCAGCUCAUGGCCGUUCCUUAUCGGGUCCCUUGCGCUUGGGCUAUAAUUCCGUAAGUGCGUCAAAUGGACUUUGACCGGCCCGUUGCCAAGUCUUCCAAAGCUGAUAGUGGCUUUUCGAACGAGUAUACAGACACUGGAGAGCUUGUGCGUGCCGACACUUCGGGGGACAGGGCGACAACUUCCGACCCGUAGAGUUCAGUCUGAAGGAGCCCUUUAGGCUGCUUUAGGGAGGCCGUUUCUCUAACUGUUCUUUCAACCACUCGAUUUCCUCAUAUCUCACUUCUUGGCUAGUCGACGUCGUCGCUCCGCACACCCGAUGUCUCGAUUUUGGUCCAAGCGGAGCCGCGGUUGGCACACAAAACGGACAAGUACCAGGAACGCCAUCAAAGGAGGGGGACGAACGAACCAGGUCCACGGUGCCAUCUCUUACACAACGCUUACACGAGCUCGGACGACUGGAAAGGGACAUGACCCCACACCUAAACGGGUACGGGGCUCAAACAGGGCACAUACUUGUUUUGUACACACCAGAACCAAACCAAACACUUGAUCAAAGAGUUAGCAAGUAUAGCGUCUGGCAACAGGACAAGUACACGUUAGAUCGUCAGCUGUUUGGGAGGUUACUUCUCCUAUUAAACCGAAGCGAACAUGUCAAACGCUAUAAAUUAUCUCGUGCAAUCACAUAGGAGGGACCAGUUUAAAAUUUAAACGUGGUACUGUCUAUAGAGGGAAUGUAAAAGUUUCGAAAAUGCCAG